CUGCAGCCAGUUAAGCUAAGCAGGUUCUUUCCUCAGGGGCUCCUUGUGUGCAAUGGCUGCCCGCAGCAGAUCCCUAGGGAAUGCAUGCAGCCUGUUGCUCGUAUCCCCUAAAUAACCCUGAAGAACUUU